CUAAAUGAUAAAGAUGCAAGAUAGGGACAAAAUUGCCACCUGACCUUCUGUGAAAACGGAACCCAUUUGCAGUCUGGGAACAGCCUGCAAUCAUGGAGAAGAUUAUUCCCAUGUUCCUCAAUUGCCUCAGUGUCUGGAUAUCUGAUGACCUGUUUUGG